rnacentral:rRNA from 1 species
AGAGUUUGAUCCUGGCUCAGAUUGAACGCUGGCGGCAUGCCUUACACAUGCAAGUCGAACGGCAGCACGGGGGCAACCCUGGUGGCGAGUGGCGAACGGGUGAGUAAUGCAUCGGAACGUGCCCAGUAGUGGGGGAUAGCCCGGCGAAAGCCGGAUUAAUACCGCAUACGUACUGAGGUAGAAAGCGGGGGACCGAAAGGCCUCGCGCUAUUGGAGCGGCCGAUGUCGGAUUAGCUUGUUGGUGGGGUAAUGGCCUACCAAGGCGACGAUCCGUAACUGGUCUGAGAGGACGACCAGUCACACUGGGACUGAGACACGGCCCAGACUCCUACGGGAGGCAGCAGUGGGGAAUUUUGGACAAUGGGCGCAAGCCUGAUCCAGCAAUGCCGCGUGUGUGAAGAAGGCCUUCGGGUUGUAAAGCACUUUUGUCCGGAAAGAAAUCCGUCUGGCUAAUACCCGGACGGGAUGACGGUACCGGAAGAAUAAGCACCGGCUAACUACGUGCCAGCAGCCGCGGUAAUACGUAGGGUGCGAGCGUUAAUCGGAAUUACUGGGCGUAAAGCGUGCGCAGGCGGCUUUGUAAGACAGAUGUGAAAUCCCCGGGCUCAACCUGGGAACUGCAUUUGUGACUGCAAGGCUAGAGUGCGUCAGAGGGAGGUGGAAUUCCGCGUGUAGCAGUGAAAUGCGUAGAGAUGCGGAGGAACACCGAUGGCGAAGGCAGCCUCCUGGGAUGACACUGACGCUCAUGCACGAAAGCGUGGGGGAGCAAACAGGAUUAGAUACCCUGGUAGUCCAUCCCUAAACGACGUCUACUAGUUGUCGGGGAUUCAUUUCCUGGUAACGCAGCUAACGCGUGAAGUAGACCGCAGGGGAGUACGGCCGCAAGGUUAAAACUCAAAGGAAUUGACGGGGACCCGCACAAGCGGUGGAUGAUGUGGAUUAAUUCGAUGCAACGCGAAAAACCUUACCUACGCUUGACAUGCCAGGAACUUUCCAGAGAUGGAUUGGUGCCCGAAAGGGAACCUGGACACAGGUGCUGCAUGGCAGUUGUCAGCUCGUGUCGUGA